AGCGAACGCUGGCGGCAGGCCUAACACAUGCAAGUCGAACGAACCUUUCGGGGUUAGUGGCGGACGGGUGAGUAACACGUGGGAACGUGCCUUUAGGUUCGGAAUAACUCAGGGAAACUUGUGCUAAUACCGAAUGUGCCCUUCGGGGGAAAGAUUUAUCGCCUUUAGAGCGGCCCGCGUCUGAUUAGCUAGUUGGUUGAGGUAAUGGCCCACCAAGGCGACGAUCAGGAGCUGGUCUGAGAGGAUGAUCAGCCACAUUGGGUCAGAGACACGGCCCAAACCGCUGCAGGACGCCGCAGUGGAGCGUCUAGCACGAGGGGCGAAAUCCAGAGGGAGUCGUGCCGCGAGAAUGAUGAACGUGCUAAGAAAAUAAAACCCUUCCACGCGACACGAACAUGACAGUACCCGGAAAAGACGGGCCGGCAAACUUGGUG
rnacentral:rRNA from 1 species